AGUAGGCCUGAGUCAGUGAAGAGCUUUGGAGGGCGGGACUGAAUGGGGGUUAAUCAGAGGAUGCGAUUGCUGACCCUUUGCACUUUGGCAUGGCCCAUCCCCUAAUUUCUGACCAGAAGCCCUCCCUCUACCCUAAGCUCGUGCGUCACGACGCCGCCAGCUGAUCGGAGCCUGGAGCCGGUGUGUGCUGGGUGCCGAGAAGAGACAGCGCCGCCGGCCGUGGGGAGCGGACGCAGUGAUUUGCUCCCCCUCGUGCAGCAACCCCCACACCCAGCACCAGGCCCCCAGAACUCUCCUUCCAGCUGAACUCCCUGGGAACAAGUCAGUUGGGCUGAUCACUGAACUCACAUUUCUGGACCUGAGGAGCCUGUUCCUCUCACGCCCUCACCUGGCUGAGCCGCAGUAGUUCUUCAGUGGCAAGCUUUAUGUCCUGACCCAGCUAAAGCUGCCAGUUGAAGAACUGUUGCCCUCUGCCCCUGGCUUCGAGGAGGAGGAGGAGCUGCUUUCCCCAUCAUCUGGAAGGUGACAGAAAUGGGCUGGGAAGGUCCGAACAGCAGGGUGGAUGAUACGUUUUGGGCAAGUUGGAGAGCCUUUGCCCAGAUUGGCCCAGCAAGGAGCGGUUUUAGAUUAGAGACACUGGCUGGAUUGAGGAGUAGAAGGCUCAAACAACCCAAGGAAGCUGUGUCUGUUCGAUUUGGUGGGAGGAGAUGUGCAGGGAGCUGUAUCUUGUCCUCCGCUUGUGAAAAACUCAAGGAUGUGGAGAAGAGUAGACCGUGGAACCCUGCUCUUCUGCAGCCAAGCUGAGGGGCAGGAUGCGUGUGGGACAGUGGUAGAGAAGCAGGGGAUAGACUCAUAGGCUGCAACAAAGGUGACUCUGUCCCUGGACACUGCCUCCGUACUUUCUCCUUGCUUCACUGGCCACAGCAUCUCCCUCCAGCCCUCGCUAUGUGCCUCUGCCAUCUUCACCCAUCAUGGAGCAGAGGUGAGGAGAGGCAGCCUGGGAAUAUGGAGACCAGUGAAGGACCAGGCCUGGAGAGCACAGGGUCCUACCUGGGCAUCCAGCAGAGGAGCCCCUAAAGGCCAGGAGCACCCCAAGAGGAGGGAGGGCAGCCAGCCUCCAUUGACGGCGAGCCUCCAGCCCUCUCCUACUUUGAUCACCAUUUCUCUCCAGGCUUUCUGCCUCCGAGAUGUGGCACCAUAGUGCGGUGCCCUGUGGCUUCACCGCCCUACUUCCACCUCCGCCCAGCCUGUAAUGUUUAUAUAAGCAGCCUCAAGGACCAAGAACCAUCUGCGAAAGGACACACACAGGAAAUUCAUAAAAGAAAUCUGAAUGGAUAAAACCAUGAAAAAAAGUAUGCUUCAUUAGUAAUUAAAGAAAGGCAAAUAGAGCUGGAAGCAUUUUUCCCUUAGCAAACCAUAACAGAAAAAAAUAAGACCCAAUAUUGGCAAAGAGACUACUGAAAAAACAUUCCCAUACAUUGCGUGUGGGAGUAUACAUCGGUGCAGGCUUCCUGGAUGACAGUUGGGUGAUAUGUGUCAUGUGGCCUAAAAGCCUCCAUGUCAUUUGACCUACGAAUUCUAUCUUUGGGAAUUUAUCCUAAGAAAAUACUUAAGGAUUUAGUUAGUGAUAAGAUGUUCAUCCCAGCAUUGCAAUGGAGAAAAAUGGGAAGCAAUGGUUUGGUUGGGAAUUUAUUCCUUUUCUGCUGUAACGAAAGUUUGCAAUAGGGGAUUGCUUAAGUAAAUUAUUGUAUCUCCAUCCAGAUGGUGGAGUACCGCGCAGACAUUAAAAGUCAUGUAAAAGAACAUCUGACUGAAAGAAAAAUGCUCCUUGAAUAUUAAAAGGUUGUAAAAAUAGUGCAUGUUAUGUGAUUUCAAUUUUGUUUUUUAAAAUAUGGGUGUAUGCUUGUAUACGUAGAGCAGAUAAAAAAGACGGAAGGCAUACUAAAAAAUGUUGAGUGGUUAUCUUUGUAUGGUGGAACAAAGUCACUGUAAUUUUCAUCUUUGGUUUUUCUGUAAUUUCCAAAUUUUCCACAUUUUGUAUUUCAUAUAAUAUAA
rnacentral:lncRNA from 1 species